AAUAUAAACACCUUUAAACCCAUAUCGUUAUGUAUUUCUAUCUUCCCUGCAUUAGGAGUGAUUUGAUAUUCCACUAGAAUACGUUUGAUGGUUAAAUCCACACUUAAGUGAGAUGCCAAAACAUCGUGUAACUCAAUGAAUGUUGCUGAUGUGCUCAACAGUAUAGCAUCAGUGACAUAUUCUUCGAAGUUCUUUUCGUACGUCCAUCGACCAGAGUGCUUCACAAGGACUGGUAUGCUUCCCAUUUCU
rnacentral:lncRNA from 1 species